rnacentral:rRNA from 1 species
GAGUUUGAUCCUGGCUCAGGAUGAACGCUGGCGGCGUGCUUAACACAUGCAAGUCGAACGGGGGUGCCAUGAACGAAGCAUCAGUUUACUAAUAUGGAGGGAAUGGGACCCUAGUGGCGGACGGGUGAGUAACGCGUGGGUAACCUGCCCCAUACCGGGGGAUAACACUUAGAAAUAGGUGCUAAUACCGCAUAAGCGCACGGUACUGCAUGGUACAGUGUGAAAAACUCCGGUGGUAUGGGAUGGACCCGCGUCUGAUUAGCUUGUUGGCGGGGUAACGGCCCACCAAGGCGACGAUCAGUAGCCGGCCUGAGAGGGUGGACGGCCACAUUGGGACUGAGACACGGUCCAAACUCCUACGGGAGGCAGCAGUGGGGAAUAUUGCACAAUGGGGGAAACCCUGAUGCAGCGACGCCGCGUGAGUGAAGAAGUAUUUCGGUAUGUAAAGCUCUGUCAGCGGGGAAGAAAAUGACGGUACCUGACCAAGAAGCCCCGGCUAACUACGUGCCAGCAGCCGCGGUAAUACGUAGGGGGCAAGCGUUAUCCGGAUUUACUGGGCGUAAAGGGAG